rnacentral:lncRNA from 1 species
UUCAUAUCAUUAUUGUUUUCUUUAUUUAAUUUCUAUGUUUCUCUAGAAGCCAGCGACCAGUCAUCGCACAACCACCAUCAAAUGCCGCACACUGUUGAUUCUCCGCCAAGUCGGCUCUGGUGGAUAGAACGAACGACGAAACGAGACCUGCCGAGAUGCGUGACGUGACAACGGCAUCCUACAAUUUUGGAUCGCCAAGUUCGAAUUACCCUUUUCAUCAUAAUCGAUAGUGGCUGCCUUAAUUAAUUCUAGGGUUCUGGCGAAGCCUCGGUCAUAGCCGCCUCCGUCGUCGGAACUAAUAGUUUCCUUCAUGAGGUUUUUUUUUUUACUGUUUAUCGUUUUUAUUUUGACUUGAGAUGUUGAAGAAGAGAAGGAGUGCAAUGAAUGAUCCCUUGAAAGCGUGUCUCUAAAUCCUCUAUCACACAAAACAUGUUUAGUUCAUGUGGGAUUGGAAUUGCAUUCUUUCAUAUGAUCCUUGAUCUUCGCUCGCAAUUGUAAAUACGCUUACCGCCCGGUUAAAUGAUGGAAUUCCCUAAAUUGAUGAGAAAUGGGUGCUUCUCGGUUUCUGUAUAUACGCAGCUACACUGUAUCUGCAUUUUGCCACAUCAGUCAUUAUUCAUGAAAUAACAACAUCUCUUGGAAUCUACUGUUUUAGAUUCGGCUGAUCGGAAUCAAGGGUUUCAAAUAAAGUGGUGGAACUUGCAUUAGUUAAUAGACCACAGAGUCAAAGUGGGAUUCAAGGAAACUUUGGGGGUGGCUUUUUGAGUCUUCGACUUGGAGGUAGUGAAGAACCGGUAUCUACUUCACCUUGCGUCAUGGAUUUAUAGCGGUGAGCACUUAUAUACACAACAAUGUUAAGAGGCUGGACUGGAACUUUUUUAGAAAAAAGAACGUCAGAAUAAAAAAAUGAUGAUACAAAACUCCAUCCUGUAUUAGAUGGUACAAAUGAAUUUUCAUUAUUCGCAUCCCCAUCAUUUCAGGAUUGAAUCAAGGUGAUACUGCUCUUCCAUUAAAGGGUUGGCCUUUGAGUAUAAGACAACAUGGUUUGCAUUUCUUCCAUACAAUGUUAUAAUUUGAUUUCUAAAGAUGCUUGGUGUGAAUUUCCUUAACAGGGAAUGGACGAUUUACACCCUAAUAUAGGUUUGCAAGUACAAAAGCUCAAUAGGCAGAAUCAACAUCAGUUCUAUUUGCCUUGAAACAUGCCCAGGCCCAAGGUAAUAUUGUAACUUCACCAAAUUAUGGGCUUGUUGGAUUAUCUAGAGGCAGUCUAAGUAUGAAAGAUGGUCAAACCACAAGAAAUGAUGGAUCCCCUGGUCAAAUGAAUUCACCCCAGGUUAAGAUUUUCUUUUUAUGAUCUAAUUCUUGGUUCUCUGUGUUAUUAUAACAUCUCUCUUUUAUCUACACAAUCCCCAACAAGACCACUUUAAUCUGUACUUCUGUUCAAAUAUCUGGCUAUUGAGAAUAAGAGGGGUUCGUUUAUGUAGUACAAUAAUUAGGGCUUAAAAUAAGAUAUCAGUUACAACGGUUGAAUUAGCUGUGUGUGUAACUUAUUGCCAUCCGGGGUUAAGCCAACUUCACUUGGUUGUGUACGCUUGACUGCAAGCCUUGAUAUAGAGGCUGCAAAUUCGGUGGGUUUUGAUAACGGAUCAAAAAAGAAAGUUUUAGGAUGGAAAACAAAUUGUGUGGGUUCCAUGAGCUUCAUUUUGGUUUCCUCUAAAGAAGGCCUUUGUGCUGCAAAAGCAAAACUUCAUAGCUGUAGAGCAAAUAAGUGGUCAAUUGGACUAAAUUAACUUUAAAAGUAAAUUGAUAAAUAACUAGAGACAUGAACAAUUGUUAAGAGUCGAAUAAAGUAAUAAACUACUGGGAAUAUAAAAAGUCAAAGUUUUAAAGUAGGACAGGAACCAGUUCAUGUUUGUCAACUGUCCUGUUGUCUUCUUGUGACUUUUGAAACUUAGAUGUGGAUAUUUCUAUAACUUGAUCAACUAUAUAGACAGUUGCCCAAGAGUUUCAAUUGAAUAUCCAUAUGGAGCACCACCACAAGCUUACCAAAAAAAAGAAAUACGAUGUGCAGUAAUAGGUGUUUUUUUUUUUUUUUUUUUUUUUGAAACAAUGAUGUAGUAUCAUAGUGUGGAUUGCACCAUUUGAUCCAACUAAGAAGGAUGAGGAGGUUAUUCAAGAUGUCAACUGUAAGUACUUUUUAAAAUUCUUUUUUUACUAAGAUAAUGCGAUUAGUGAUCCGAUCCUCUUUGUAUUAACUAUGAACUUAAUAACAAGCAUUAAAUAGUGUGAUUAUAUAAACCAUUAAAAGUACUUUAACGAACCACUAGCCCGUAACUUAGAAAUUACACUACAUCAGUUUAUGAGCAGCAUCUGGUUAUGAGCCCGUAAAAUAUCACGGUCAAUGGCCCUUCAAACGAGUAUUUGGAAUUCAGGUCUGUUAUCAUCAAUCUUAUACCUCAUAAUCUCAAUGCUUUUUUUGAUCUUCAAUCUUAAGCAACGUAUUGUAAUUUUUCCAGGAGCCUGCUUUUGUCGCGUUUUCUGCACUUAAAAAAAUUUGUUGACAUGACACAUAAAUGCCAAAUGGAUUAGAAAAAAAAAUGAGAAAUAGGUUUAAAAAUUUUUUAAAAAAUUGUAGAAAUGUUAACAAAAUGCGAAAAAAUUAAAAAGAAUGUGAUUUACCCUAUUUUUAAUAAAUAAAUUAAUAAAACCUCCUAAAUCAUUUCAUUUAAAUUACUAAAAAUUAUGAAAAUUUUAUUAAAAAAUCUAAAUGGGCCAAAAAGCAAUUGCUUUUUACCAAACCCUUCAUACUACUAAUAAUACCGAUUCAUGGAACAUCACUUUAGAAAUAAGGAUAUGGUGGGCAAAGUACCUAAUUGUUUGUUUUUACGAUUUGUAAUAUUUGAUUCUUUUGGGUUUUGGGUUUUGAUUUAUUAUAUUUCUUUUAUUUGAUUCCAUGUCAUCAUAUUU